AACUGUUGUAUCGUUGGCUUGCAGGGUCAUGUACUCUAAACUCCUAAAAAAAGCCUCUGAACUGGUUAAAGGGUUAAUUUCUAACAAAACCAAAUGUCAGUCGAGUUUAACUGUAAACCGCUGCCUUUGCCUCGAGUUCCCCCCACCACGAAUUUCAUUAUAUACGACAUACAGUAUCUACGUAUAGUUUAAAAGAUUUCACAUAGGGUGUGAUGACGUAGACGUGUUACGGGGUGUUUAUUUUAUUCUAAUGUAAAUUUCUGCCGAAUGUGCUGAUGAAGCUGAACGCUCCUCGAAUCUGCGAGUGUGAAACCUCAGGCAGCGGUCCUGUGGGCUAUAAGAGGGUCGUGACGAGAGUUGUCCUUCCUCAGUGCUGGGUCGGAGUGGGAGUCACUUUGAAGGAAGGGUUUGGUAUCAUGGCAAGAGGCGGGGUUUUCGGAAACGUGUCCGGGGAGGGAACGCCACAGCAGCUGUCGGCAUCUGGGAACAGUUGA
rnacentral:lncRNA from 1 species